rnacentral:rRNA from 1 species
UACGUAGGGUGCAAGCGUUGUCCGGAAUUAUUGGGCGUAAAGAGCUCGUAGGCGGUCUGUCGCGUCUGCUGUGAAAACUCAGGGCUUAACCCUGAGCUUGCAGUGGGUACGGGCAGACUAGAGUGCGGUAGGGGGAGACUGGAAUUCCUGGUGUAGCGGUGAAAUGCGCAGAUAUCAGGAGGAACACCGGUGGCGAAGGCGGGUCUCUGGGCCGUAACUGACGCUGGAGGAGCG